AACGGGCGUUACCCAAGGCGAUGAUGCAUAGCCCGAGUUGAGAGACUGAUCGGGCCACAUUGGGACUGAGACACGGGCCCAAACUCCUACGGGAGGCAGCAGUAGGGGAAUCUUCCACAAUGGACGAAAGUCUGAUGGAGCAAACGCCGCGUGAGUGAAGAAGGUUUUCGGAUCGUAAAAAGCUCUGUUGUUGGUGAAGAAGGAUAGAGGUAGUAACUGGCCCUUUAUUUGACGGUAAUCAACCCAGAAAGUCACGGGCUAACUACGUGCCCAGCAGCCGCGGUAAAU
rnacentral:rRNA from 1 species